rnacentral:rRNA from 1 species
UGGGGAAUAUUGCACAAUGGGCGAAAGCCUGAUGCAGCGACGCCGCGUGCGGGAUGAAGGCCUUCGGGUUGUAAACCGCUUUUGAUUGGGAGCAAGCGAGAGUGAGUGUACCUUUCGAAUAAGCACCGGCUAACUACGUGCCAGCAGCCGCGGUAAUACGUAGGGUGCAAGCGUUAUCCGGAAUUAUUGGGCGUAAAGAGCUCGUAGGCGGUUUGUCGCGUCUGGUGUGAAAGUCCAUCGCUUAACGGUGGAUCUGCGCCGGGUACGGGCAGGCUAGAGUGCGACAGGGGAGACUGGAAUUCCCGGUGUAACGGUGGAAUGUGUAGAUAUCGGGAAGAACACCAAUGGCGAAGGCAGGUCUCUGGGUCGUCACUGACGCUGAGGAGCGAAAAGCGUGGGGAGCGAACAGGAUUAGAUACCCUGGUAGUCCACGCCGUAAACGGUGGAUGCUGGAUGUGGGGCCCCAUUCC